rnacentral:rRNA from 1 species
UACGGGGGGGGCAAGCGUUGUUCGGAAUUACUGGGCGUAAAGGGCUCGUAGGCGGCCAACUAAGUCAGACGUGAAAUCCCCAGGCUCAACCUGGGAACUGCGUCUGAUACUGAUUGGCUUGAAUCCGGGAGAGGGAUGCAGAAUUCCAGGUGUAGCGGUGAAAUGCGUAGAUAUCUGGAGGAAUACCGGUGGCGAAGGCGGCAUCCUGGACCGGCAUUGACGCUGAGGAGCGAAAGCCAGGGGAGCGAACGGG